UACAGAGGUCUCAAGCGUUGUUCGGAAUCACUGGGCGUAAAGGGUGCGUAGGCGGUCGGGUAAGUCUGAUGUGAAAUCUCACAGCUUAACUGUGAAACUGCAUUGGAUACUAUUCGGCUAGAGAGUUGGAGGGGGGACUGGAAUUCUUGGUGUAGCAGUGAAAUGCGUAGAUAUCAAGAGGAACACCAGUGGCGAAGGCGAGUCCCUGGACAACUUCUGACGCUGAGGCACGAAAGCUAGGGGAGCAAACAGG
rnacentral:rRNA from 1 species